rnacentral:rRNA from 1 species
GACGAACGCUGGCGGCGUGCCUAAUACAUGCAAGUCGAACGCAGUGGGGACGGGUGAGUAACAAGUGGGUAACCUCCCAUCAGAGGGGAUAACACUUGGAAACAGGUGCUAAACCGAUACUGAUGGAUGGACCCGCGGUGCAUGAGCUAGUGGGUGAGGUAAAGGUUCACCAAGGCCACGAUGCCUAGCCGCGCUUAGAGGGUGAUCGUCUACACUGGGACUGAGACACGGCCCUGACUCCUACGGGAGGCAGCAGUAGGGAAUCGUCGGCAAUGGACGAAAGUCUGACCGAGCAACGCCGCGUGAGUGAAGAAGGUUUUCGGAUCGUAAAACUCUGUUGUUAGAUAAGCGGUAUCUAACCAGAAAGCCACGGCUAACUACGUGCCAGCCGCCGCGGUAAUUC